UAGGUGAACCUGCGGAGGGAUCAUUACACAAAUAUGAAGGCGGGCUGGAACCUCUCGGGGUUACAGCCUUGCUGAAUUAUUCACCCUUGUCUUUUGCGUACUUCUUGUUUCCUUGGUGGGUUCGCCCACCACUAGGACAAACAUAAACCUUUUGUAAUUGCAAUCAGCGUCAGUAACAAAUUAAUAAUUACAACUUUCAACAACGGAUCUCUUGGUUCUGGCAUCGAUGAAGAACGCAGCGAAAUGCGAUAAGUAGUGUGAAUUGCAGAAUUCAGUGAAUCAUCGAAUCUUUGGACGCACAUUGCGCCCUUUGGUAUUCCAAAGGGCAUGCCUGUUCGAGCGUCAUUUGUACCCUCAAGCUUUGCUUGGUGUUGGGCGUCUUGUCUCUAGCUUUGCUGGAGACUCGCCUUAAAGUAAUUGGCAGCCGGCCUACUGGUUUCGGAGCGCAGCACAAGUCGCACUCUCUAUCAGCAAAGGUCUAGCAUCCAUUAAGCCUUUUUUUCAACUUUUGACCUCGGAUCAGGUAGGGAUACCCGCUGAACUUAAGCAUAUCAAUAAGCGGAGGAAAAGAAACCAACAGGGAUUGCCCUAGUAACGGCGAGUGAAGCGGCAACAGCUCAAAUUUGAAAUCUGGCUCUUUUAGAGUCCGAGUUGUAAUUUGCAGAGGGCGCUUUGGCUUUGGCAGCGGUCCAAGUUCCUUGGAACAGGACGUCAUAGAGGGUGAGAAUCC
rnacentral:rRNA from 1 species